rnacentral:snRNA from 11 species
AUACUCAUUUGGCAGAGGAGACAUGAUUAGGAAGGCGUUUCCCAGGGUGAGGCUCCUCUCUGUACUCGGGAGGUGCUGGCCCCUGCUNCUUUCCCCAGUUCACGAAACUCAGCUGCCUAAUUUGCAGUAGUGGGAGAUGUGUUCGCCCU